rnacentral:lncRNA from 1 species
GAAGAGAAGGAUGCUGCAGUCAGGAACUCCUGGAAGUGAGCUUGGAACUGCCUUUGUCCAGAGGCUUGGAAAAAAUGAGAUUCACAGAAGAUACACCAAAAAACGUGCUGUGAAGAUUCAGGAUUACAGGGAGCAUCCAUUGCAGAAGAAAACAUUACUGAGGGAAAAAAAUUAAUAUAUUUUUAAUAACAACAACAAGAAAUACAGAUUGCUAGAGCUCGUAGUUUGGAGGUUUUUACCCCAAAAGAUUUAAUUUAUUCACCAAGCAAGUAAUGCAUGGCUAAGUAAAAAAGUAAAAACUUAUGAUUUACAGUGCACUGUCCAGCAGUCUCAAUGAUCUCAAGCUGCACCCGGAAAGGGUCAGUUUGGAUAUCGGGCAAAAUUUCUUCACUGGAAAAAUGAAAGAAAGAGUGAAACCCCCCCCAUCUAAAAGAUAAAAGGCCAUCAAACCAAUAAUCUCUCUUAAUUUUCUGUCAACCAUCCUGUCAUCAGCAUUUAGUUUUUCACUGUGGAAUCUUUUCCUUCUUCCCUGUUAGAAUUUAAAUUGAUUUGUCUCUACACAGAGCAGCCCUAUUUCACCUUCUUUUUUUCCUGUUAACAUAAAUACAGCAGUCAUAGGAAUUGUUUUUUAUUUGUUUUGAUGUCAUUGUGCUGGAGGCUGGAGUUCUGAAUUAUCAAAUACUUAGUCUGGAUCAACAGAAGACUGAGAUACAUUAGGAAGGGUUAAAUGUGUUUUCACUGUUGGACUCAAAUCCAGGCCUCUGUCUGGGACACCCUGGGAAUCGGUGCUCUAAAAUAUCUGGAUGUCACAGAGAUCCUUAAUGUUUUACUUUCUUUUCCAGUUUUCUUGUUCUUUCCAUUCUGAAUUUGAAUCUACAGCCAACACUGCAAUGGGGUAAUUGCAACAAACUGUUGAAAUGUCACUGUGUCUUCUCUUUAUGGAAACUUUUACAUUUUUGUCCUUCUAAAAAUGGUGAAUGAUGCUUUGGUACUGAGUUUUAAGAUACAGAGCUCAUUUUAGUGUGUCCUCCUCAUCCUAGAAAUCCAUGUAAAUCAUUACAAUCUUGACAUUUGUGUGUAAGGUCUGUGUCCUAUAAACUAUUAAUGAAACAUCUGAGGUCUGGAAUAUAUAAACUGGAGAUUUAACUGGACUUUAAGAUCUUUUGAUUAAAAAU